rnacentral:lncRNA from 1 species
CCGAGAUGGCAUCGCCAUGGCACCGGCAUGGUCCACAGCUCUGCUGGGCGUGGCUCUGGUAUGUGUAGCUCUGGUCUCUUGCUGGACAGAUGGCCUUCACAGAGGGCCCUCCCAGACAUCCAGUGGCCUUGGAUAUCAUGAUGUGAGGGAGCAAUCAGGAUGAGGAAGACAAGCUGUACGAGACUACUGGCUACAGGGCUGAGUAAUGCAACGUCAGAUGGAUAAAGUGUGAACGAUGACACACAGCUACCUCAGGUACUGGGAGAAAGCUUGAAGCGUGCAGAUUUGUUAAGCACCCAGUCCCUCCUGAACAGUACAGUGAGUACAGACAGUGGAAAGAACCGUGGCUAUAGUUGGCUGUCUUUCUGUGCACAGUGUGACUUGCUGUGUCGCCCAUGAAGCGAUUUCUGAGUUCGAGGCCAGCCUGG